UGGAGGAUGUGGAGGCGGUGAAAAUUUGGAUAAGUGCUGCCUUGAGAGGGUUCAUCGCUGUCCACGGUCAGUUCAUUUCCCCUCACACCGAGCUCCCUGUUCUUGCCAAAUUCAUCGUGCUCACUCGAUCUCUGUCCAAUUUCUCGCACACACAUCACCAGCAGCCCUCCCUCGACCGAUUUGAGGAGGUUCUAGCCCCUGCCUCCGACCACCGCCGCUGCAGCGCCGUCACCAUCUUUGUUCCUGUCCGUUGUCGAGCAGAGAGGUCGGGUCGCCGAACCGAAAGUCGCGAACGUCAGCAUUGAGUACAUCGAACGGCCAUCCGAAGGUCCUAUCAGAGAAGAAGAAGUGAUCGUAGUUGAGCACGAACCAGAGCCGUCCAUUGAGAUUGCACCUUCCGACAUUGGUCAAGGCAAGCACCGGAGCAUCUACACCUACUAAUUUCCUAAUUAUUAUAGUUAUUUCAUGUUAUUGCAUGUGAAUGCUUAAAGUCUAGGAGUUGCUUGAAA